rnacentral:rRNA from 1 species
GACGCCGCGUGGAGGAUGAAGGCCCUCGGGUUGUAAACUCCUUUUGGGUGGGAAGAAGCUCUGACGGUACCACCCGAAUAAGCCCCGGCUAACUACGUGCCAGCAGCCGCGGUAAUACGUAGGGGGCGAGCGUUGUCCGGAUUUAUUGGGCGUAAAGCGCGUGCAGGCGGUUCGUUAAGUCCGUUGUGAAAGCUCCUGGCUCAACUGGGAGAGGUCUUCGGAUACUGGCGGACUCGAGGGAGGCAGAGGAAGGUGGAAUUCCGGGUGUAGUGGUGAAAUGCGUAGAGAUCCGGAGGAACACCAGUGGCGAAGGCGGCCUUCUGGGCCUUUCCUGACGCUGAGACGCGAAAGCGUGGGGAGCGAACCGGAUUAGAUACCCGGGUAGUCCACGCCGUAAACGAUGCUCACUAGAUGUGGGGGGUAUCGACCCCCUCCGCGUCGAAGCUAACGCAUUAAGUGAGCCGCCUGGGGAGUACGGCCGCAAGGCUAAAACUCAAAGGAAUUGACGG